rnacentral:rRNA from 1 species
CAGUAGCCGCGGGAAUACGUAGGGUGCAAGCGUUGUCCGGAAUCAUUGGGCGUAAAGCGCGCGUAGGUGGCCAUUUAAGUCCGCUGUGAAAGUCAAAGGCUCAACCUUUGAAAGCCGGUGGAUACUGGAUGGCUAGAGUACGGAAGAGGCGAGUGGAAUUCCUGGUGUAGCGGUGGACUGCGCAGAUAUCAGGAGGAACACCAAUAGCGAAGGCAGCUCGCUGGGACGUUACUGACACUGAGGCGCGAAAGCGUGGGGAGCGAACAGGAUUAGAUACCCCAGUAGUCCCUGUCUCUUAUAC